rnacentral:rRNA from 1 species
AGUUUGAUCCUGGCUCAGAACGAACGCUGGCGGCAGGCUUAACACAUGCAAGUCGAACGCCCCGCAAGGGGAGUGGCAGACGGGUGAGUAACGCGUGGGAAUCUACCGUGCCCUGCGGAAUAGCUCCGGGAAACUGGAAUUAAUACCGCAUACGCCUUACGGGGGAAAGAUUUAUCGGGGUAUGAUGAGCCCGCGUUGGAUUAGCUAGUUGGUGGGGUAAAGGCCUACCAAGGCGACGAUCCAUAGCUGGUCUGAGAGGAUGAUCAGCCACAUUGGGACUGAGACACGGCCCAAACUCCUACGGGAGGCAGCAGUGGGGAAUAUUGGACAAUGGGCGCAAGCCUGAUCCAGCCAUGCCGCGUGAGUGAUGAAGGCCUUAGGGUUGUAAAGCUCUUUCACCGAUGAAGAUAAUGACGGUAGUCGGAGAAGAAGCCCCGGCUAACUUCGUGCCAGCAGCCGCGGUAA